rnacentral:rRNA from 1 species
UAGGGAAUUUUCGUCAAUGGGCGCAAGCCUGAACGAGCGAUGCCGCGUGAGUGAAGAAGGCCUUCGGUCGUAAAGCUCUGUUGCGGGGGAAAAAAGGCAGCAUCAGGAAAUGGGUGCUGACUGAUGGUGCCCCGCCAGAAAGUCACGGCUAACUAC